rnacentral:rRNA from 1 species
CGGUUGAUCCUGCCGGACCGGACUGCUAUCGGGGUAGGGCUAAGCCAUGCAAGUCGCACGCCCGGGGGCAUGGCCGGGCGUGGCGGACGGCUCAGUAACGCGUGGCUAACCUACCCUCGGGAGGGGGAUAACCCCGGGAAACUGGGGCUAAUCCCCCAUAGGCGCGGACACCUGGAAUGGGUCCGCACCGAAAGGGGCGUGACGCCAUCCUCGUCACGCUCGCCCGAGGAUGGGGCUGCGUCCUAUCAGGUAGUUGGCGGGGUAACGGCCCGCCAAGCCGAUAACGGGUAGGGGCCGUGAGAGCGGGAGCCCCGAGAUGGGCACUGAGACAAGGGCCCAGGCCCUACGGGGCGCAGCAGGCGCGAAACCUCCGCAAUGCGGGAAACCGUGACGGGGUUACCCCGAGUGCCACCCGAUGAGGGUGGCUUUUCCCCGGUCUAAAAAGCCGGGGGAAUAAGCGGGGGGCAAGUCUGGUGUCAGCCGCCGCGGUAAUACCAGCCCCGCGAGUGGUCCGGACGAUUAUUGGGCCUAAAGCGUCCGUAGCCGGCCCGGCAAGUCCCUCUUUAAAGCCCACGGCUCAACCGUGGGACCGGAGGGAUACUGCCGGGCUAGGGGGCGGGAGAGGCCGGGGGUACUUCCGGGGUAGGGGCGAAAUCCUGUAAUCCCGGAAGGACCGCCAGUGGCGAANGCGCCCGGCUGGAACGCGCCCGACGGUGAGGGACGAAAGCUGGGGGAGCAAAAGGGAUUAGAGACCCCUGUAGUCCCAGCUGUAAACGAUGCGGGCUAGGG